UACGUAGGGUCCGAGCGUUGUCCGGAGUUACUGGGCGUAAAGGGCGCGCAGGCGGCGGUGCUGGCCCGGCGUGAAACGCCCCCGGCUCAACCGGGGAGGGUCGUCGGGGACCGCACCGGCUUGAGGGCGGUAGGGGCCGGUGGAAUGCCUGGUGUAGUGGUGAAAUGCGUAGAGAUCAGGCAGAACGACCGUGGGCGAAGGCGGCGGCUGGGACCGACCUGACGCUGAGGCGCGAAAGGCGUGGGUAGCAAACAGG
rnacentral:rRNA from 1 species